rnacentral:lncRNA from 1 species
AAUUCCCCGUCUGGCUCCGUCGCCGCGUUAAACGCGUGAGGUGCGUGAUCCUGUAACUCUUUCCUCCGCGAUCGACGAUACGAAGGGUGGGUAACUUCAUUAAUGAACAGCAUAGAGGUGUGUUGGAGAAGCUUUGCAUUACCCGAUCGUGUAUAUUCUUAAGGCAAAAGCAUAAAUGAUUUGAGAGGUAGAAUAUAGAUCUGGAUUCGAGAUAGUCGACAGACGGCAGUUAUUGUUGUAUAUUGCAGAGUCGAUUACAUCGGGAAAUCUGGAAAUCUGAUCGGCGGUCUUCUGCUGAGCGACGGAGGUGUAGUUGUGGAUUUUCACGAACCACCGUUGGAUUCCCGACGAUUUUCUAAACCUUGGGUCAUCGUCGUACUUGAUUCGUACAAGGUUAGUUUGUUGUUAGUAUGACACUAUAAUUGAAAUUGUGUAUAUUUACUGUGAUUUGCACGAUCAUGAUGUGAUAAAUUGAAGGACUGAGUGGUUUCUUAUAGUGUUGAUAGCAACAAGAAAUGUAAUUGUUCUUCUUUGCAUGAAGGAAUGUAAUUGUUGUUCUUCAUACUGAAUUCAAUUACAUGAUGAAUAUCCAUAUGGAUGAGAUUGAUGGUGGUGGUCUCUGAUUCAGUGAGGAGAACUGUGAUUGAUUGGUUGUGUGCUUGUGUAUGAUUGUGGGACUGUAGCAUUGUGUUUGAUUAUGGACUGUACCCCUUGUGUAGAAGGAUCUAUUGAUCAAAAAGUAUGGGGCGAGCGUUAGUUAGCAGAGGCUAGAUAUUAAAGCUUCCAGACCGGGAAGCAUGAAUUCUAUAUGUAAAUGCAUCCGCCAACAAUGAAAUCGAAUCCAAAUUGGGGUAGUUUCCCAGACGAUGAAUGCGUUUAUUACUUUAUUUUGUUUUGUUUGAUUUUUGGUCUAUCCAAGUUAUGUAAUUGAGGAGUAUGAGUAUAGCUUGAGGUUGAAUUUGUAUUUUACUGUAAUUGAGGAGUAUAAGUAAAGCUUGAGGUCGAGUAUGUUUGAGGUUCAGAAUCUUGUAGCAGUGGUUAGAAGGAUUGGAAGUGUAAGGAGGAAAUUUGAUAGGAAAUAUGAACUGAAGUUUGAUAUAAAGAUGUAUAUAUGACUACAGGCCAAGUUGGGAUAGAAACCCAAUAUGAUGAGACCAAGUUCUAUGUCAACCAAUGACCAUACACCUUGAGAAGCAUGACAGACUACUUGGUGGUGGAAGAGUGGUUUAGUAGUAAUGAGAACCCUUACAAAUCUGUUAUGGAUAUGGAUAGGUUUUAGCUAUGUAUGGAUAGUUACUUCUCAGUAACCAGCAACCCUUUAGGUGAAUAAGGAGUCGUGUAGCUGUCCUAGUUAGUUGAUUAAGCUCUAGUUCAGGUGUCUUAUCUAUCCUCACUCCCCUCUUAGUUUUAUACCCAAUCAAUGUUAUGACUUAAAAAGUUUGAUAGCAUCAGAGAAAUAUUGCUGAUAGGAUGAUUUUUCCAGGAAAGAAGAUGACUUGUUCUCAUAGUAUUGUCUUAUGUUUUUAAGAAUUCUGUCCAAUGUUGGAGUGAAUCUUGAAUCACAAGUUUAUAUGUCAGCUUAGUAGUAUUAACAACAAUGAUAAGUAAGGUUGAAUACUUGCCAUUGUUUCGCAUAUAUUGGAUCUGUUGGAUCUCAUUUUUGUACAAAAGAGGUCAGAGAAAGAGUGAAAUGUUAUUGAUGGUUUUGGUUCAUACAACUAAAUGUCUUUGACUGAAAGACACUUUUCCUUGGUUAUGAUGUAUAAUAUAUAGGGCCAAAACAUCCACAGAGCAUCAACUUGGCAUAUUGGCUCUGGUAUUGAACCCUGUCUGGAACCUAUAGCGUAGAGGCGGUAGAGCUACCCACCACCUAAUGUAUUGUUUGAUCCAACUCUGUAUAACUUCACAAUGUUGCUUGUUCUCCCUACUUAGCUUGUUGUUUGGUUGAUCAAGUAUCAACUGUAACAGUUUAUGAUGAUGAUCUCUUGAUAUUUGCUUUUUAAUGUUAUUGAAUGAUAGGAACUGAUUAUGCAAGAACUGAUGUUGUCAUUGAAUGCUGGGAAUUUUAGGAGCAGUUAAUGCUUUUGCACAGGUAAUGUUUUCAAGUUUUCAUGCUUCUGUUUUUUUCCACAUUAUUGAUUAUGAACUUCCUUCAAAUCGUGUUUUUUUGCUAUUGCUAUGUCAUUUACUGUUUUCUUUGCUAUGGUUAAUCCAGUAAAUAGCCCAGAUGCUAGUGUGGAGUGAAGGAAGUCUUGCCCUUUUUUGCAAAUUGUCCAUUGUUAUUGAUAAUGUAUAAUACCUGAAGGCACUGAAAUGUUUGUACAGAAAACCGAAGCGAAAGGAGGACGUGCUUGUAGGACUCCAGCUUGUAUUGCAGUUUUAGGCUUUACUCGAUGGAGUUGAAGGACUUCAAAAUCUUGUUUUAAAUGUUGUUUACCAACUCUUUUGAUACUUGAUGUGAACCCCUUGAUGAGUUGAAGGACUUUAGAAUCAUGUUGGUGAGUUGUUUGCUUGCUCUUUAGAUACUUGGUGAGGGCUGUUGAUGGAGUAUGGCUGACUGGUUUUAUGCAUUUUGGCUUUUGCAGACUUACACUUUAAAAUCACGUAUUGCGACUCACUUAACAAUUUAUGAGUAGCAACUAGCAAGCAUAGUUUUUUAAAAAAAUAAAAUAAUAGAAUCU